AACCAUUUGGUUUUGCAAUUAAAAACAGGUUUGGCUUCCUCUGCAUCAGUAAGACAACGUCAACGCAACAUUCAUCCUGAAAAUUUUCCCUUGUGAAUUCAAAUGAACUAUUAAUCAGCUAGAACCUGUGCCAGGUGGGACUACAAGCAAGCAAUCGGGUUCAGGUCUCUAAGGAGGAGGAAAUCAACUCCCACUCUAUUCAUGCCGUGUUGACAUUGUAAUUGGAAUUGGCCUCAGGAACACUCUCAGGGAAGCAACGCUGGAUCUUGGUCCAACUCUCUCUACUCGUCCCCUCCACCUCUCUCACUCCUAGCUGCACCACCCCACUCCAUCACACUGCGGAGAUAAUGGAUCCCCGAAGGCAGAAUGGCAGUCAAUGGAAUUGGCAUGGCCUUGCUGAUGACUGAGCCCUGUAAAGCCACCUCAUGGAAACAGCUGCCUGUUCCACUUACUCAUAAGGCAGCCCAUUUCCUUCAGUCUUAUUAAUAGCUCUAAGAUGAAAUGUACAAAUAAGAUGCUGAUGAAGACAGCAAAAGUACCGCUAUUGCUGUGUGCCCCAAGGAAAAACAUGACUCUGCCAGAAGUCAUGAAGUUGCCGUAUUAUCUCAAGUCUUUGGCUGUUUGCUUCUCAAAGGACUUGUGGGUAGGUAGCUUCAGUAAAGUUCAUCAUUUAUCGGCCUGCAAAUCAGCUGAGCAUGACUUGGUUAUCUGAUCCUCUAUUUCAGAGGACAGAUGGGUUACGUUCUCAGAAGGGCAUGACAAUUCAUCAGGAAGAGGAGUGAGCGAUGGUUCCCAGAAAAAUGCUUUACUGUCAUCUUGAGGUUUCCCUAUCACUGGUACCAAAUGUUAGCCCCGGUGGUCUUGAAUAGCAAGAAGAACCUUAGCCCAUUUGUGAGAAAGAAAUAGGCUCCUCAUAAUUUUUGAAAGUGUGUUGCCACAGCCCAGAUGGUUUUAACAAUUAAAUACCUCAAUUGGAAAUGUUUGGAUCAAGUCCAGAUUAUUCAGUAGACAAUAGCAGACCAAUGCCCAUUUUCCUUGCAGAGUAGACCCUGUCAUUUCAAAUAUUUUCUCUGUAUUUUUCAGUGGUUUAUUGUGUAAGAAUUUACCCUGCUUCCCAAACUGGUUAGUAAAUGUGGGACCAGUCUGUCAAUCAAAUAUUCAUUUAAUUUUUUCCUAGAACCACAAAAUUAUUCCAUGAAGAGCUAAUGAUGAACUUAGUGGCCCAAAUAAUCUCUUGAUCUGGUUGUAAAAUUAGGCACAUUAAUAAAUAUACAGAGAGAUCGCUGGACACACAAUUCAAUCACAUUUUUUCCCAGGAGAUCAAUCUUAGACAAAAAUAUACAGUAGAGUUUACCUCUGACACAGCCCCACUCCUAAAUUUCUGGCAUUAUGAUUCCAUUCUCGCCCCUCUCCUCAGAGCUGCUACUUCCUUAAGAGUGAUUUCAUGCUUGCAGAUUCCCCUCAGCACAAAUCAGAUAAUACUGGAAGAUAUUACUCUCUCUUCCAGGACAAUCUGAUACUUUAUUUAAAAAAAAAAUAGUAAUGCUUGACACAAGCAAUACAAAUCUAAUAGCAGCAUCUCACAUGUUUGUAACAAGACAGUGGAGAUACAUUUUCUUAAUAGGACUCUCUUUUAAGGGAUUUCCCACCUCACGCCAAUAGCCUCUGACUUUCUCUACCUAUGUGCAGAACACCACUGAGUCCAAAGAGACAUAGUAACUACUGAAAGUAAAGCUUUCUGGAAUGGUCAAGGAAUUAACAAGCAACUCAAAUGCAAUUCAUCAUCUCCUACCAAAAAAAAAAAAAAAUACAAGCAGUUUAUGUGCACCAAUCUCUUCUCUCUCUCUCUCUCUCUUUUUUUAUUUUAUUUUUUUUUAUUUUUUGACAGGCAGAGUGGACAGUGAGAGAGAGAGACAGAGAGAAAGGUCUUCCUUUACUGUUGGUUCACCCUCCAAUGGCCACCGCGGCCAGCACGCUGCGGCCGGCACACCACGCUGAUCCGAUGGCAGGAGCCAGGAGCCAGGUGCUUUUCCUGGUCUCCCAUGGGGUGCAGGGCCCAAGCACCUGGGCCAUCCUCCACUGCACUCCCUGGCCACAGCAGAGGGCUGGCCUGGAAGAGGGGCAACCGGGACAGAAUCCGGCACCCCGACAGGGACUAGAACCCGGUGUGCCGGCGCCGCUAGGCGGAGGAUUAGCCUAGUGAGCCGCGGUGCCGGCCUCUCUCUCUCACUCUCUCUCUCCUUGUCUCUCCCUGUCUCCCUCUCUCUCUCUCUCUCACACACACACACACACACACAGAGGUUUUAUGAAACAACAAUUGGAAUAGAGAAUACUGAUGUGUAAAGGCAGCAAACGGCGCAUGAUAUCUUACUUGUUCAGGAACAGCCUCGUUACUUAUUUCAUUAUGAAGAACAGUGCCUAGAGAACGGCUAGCAUACAGUAGUCAUCAAUCAAUGUUUGUUCACUGACUGAAAAGUGAGUAGUAUCCCCAGCACUUGGAAGCAGUCUCAAGAUGUAUUCACUGCUCUGGGUGCCCAGUGGGACCCCAGUCUAAGGAAAUUCUCAUUCAUGAGGUUUAGGUGAUGGGAGGUCCGGGGUGGUAGCAAUGAUUUCUCCUAUAUGUAGUUUCAGAAAUCAUGUCCACCUUUGCUUCUGCGACUGAAGAAAAAAAAAGGCUUAAAAAAGGACCACCCUCACCAAGAAAAAUGAAAACUCACAUCCAUGCAAAAACUUGCACACAAAUGGUUAUAGCGACUUGGUGUUCACCAAAAACUGUAACCCCAUUGUCCUCAUAUUCAGACAAAAUGAACUGAGUGUAGUACUCACAUAUGAUGGGUGAAUGCUUAGCAAUAAAACAUAUGCUAAGACGUGCAAUCACAUGGGUGAACUCAACAGCAUUUUGCUAAGAGAAAGCAGCCAAACAUGAAAGACGGCCCAAUAUAUGAUGACGUUUAUGUGACAUUCUUGCUCUGGCAAAACUACAGGACAGACGUACCUGUGAUUGUGGGCAGAAUGAGGGAUGAUGCAAAGUGGCAGGGGGAAAUCGGUGGGCACGAUGCACUUGUUCUCAGCUGUGUGGUGCUUCCUCAUUUGUAUACAUCGACGAAAAUUCAAGCACCCAAAGGAGUGAAUUAUAAUUUUACCUUCAUUUUUUAAAUGAAAGGAAGAGGGUAACACUCUCUGAAGCUCAGGAAGGGACAUAGAUAAUCUUACAGGUAUUUGGGGUUUGGUCCUGUUAAAAUCUAUCUUCUGUAUGCUUAGGGCCAUGGGUGGAGGGGUUAAAUUCGGCACCAGCAAAGGCAGCAUCUUCUAUGAGAAAAGACUUCUGUUUGGAGGCAGGAUGAAAGAGUUGUGAAUGUAAUAUUCUAAGGACUUCUGGGUCUCCUAACAUGCUAAUCCACCGCGAUUAUACCUUUUACCUGGCAAGAGUGUUGUAAGGAUAAAUUAGCCAAUGUUUGCAAAGAACUUGGAAGACAAAAGCCCCACACGAGUCUUUGAGCACUGCAGUUCGCAUUAAGACUGGACUUAAGGUGAAAGCAUCUCAAAGCUGGAAGCUGGGCAGGUUUUUCUCCGUGUCGUUGAUUUCUCAAGUGGCUCCCACACAGCUUUGUGUUUAGGGCUGAAGUGUGAGCAGCUUUAAGGACAAAAGGCAACGAACAAAUGCUCUGAAAAAACAAUGGCCAAGUGGCACCUUGGCCGACAGGAUGUUCCAAAUCCAAGAACCAGUGUGGGAAAACCAGCUGCUUGUCGACACAUCUCACCUUAUAGAGUAGAUGUAUUUCGCAAAGUGCGGUGCAUACAAAGACGUAGGCUAAAGUUUAUUUGGAGAAAUAAAAGCAUCGCUUUAUAAGCAACCACGUGUGAAUGAGCACGCUGUUCUGAAUUUAUAAAUUAGAUUUUCUUACAGAGGACUGGCAAGGGCAACAGCUACAGAUCGAUGCACCCAAACUUCAGCAUUGACCUCUGUUCCUUUGGUAAUAAAAAGCAAGCAUGGCUAUAUGCAGUCUACACACCCUCCUACCAGGCCUGUUGUUACCUCUCUCUCUCUCUCUCUCUCUCUCUCUCUCUCUUUCCCUCCCUCCCUCUCUCUGGUGAAAAGCCAAGGAGUUGGAGGGAAAAGAAGGUGAACAAGAGAGUUUUGGCAAGGUAUCCAGUGGGAUGUCCUGGCCUUGAAUCACUCGGAGACUUUGCAUAGGAGAGUACUAGAAGUGCUGCAAGUUAAACUACACAACCAUCCAUUUGAUGAGGAAAGUUCAGCACAAGAAAUGUCCUCACUUUUUUUGUCCCCCACAUAAUGAACAAAAUCAUUGAAAGCCUGAAAGCGUGCACACUUCUGAUGGGUAAUACCACAUGAUGGAAAUUUUUACUGGGUCAAACAUUAUGCGACCUGAAUAUUGGUCCCAAUUCUGCUGUAAACUAGCUGUGGAGGACAUUGAGCAAGGCACAUGGUCCCGCUGGAACUCAGUUUCUUCAUCUUUGAAACUGGAGUGUUGCAUGAGAUAAUGUCUAAGAUCUGUUCCAGUUCUAAUGUCCACAUUCUAUUGUUCUCCUAUAAGGCUUCAACAGCUGAAUUAAAGCCAAGAUUUUCCUUCCCGUUCCCUAAUUUGUAGAGCACGCUCACAGGAAGCAAUACCAUUGGUGAGAUUGCAUUUAUUUAUUCCUUCAUUCUUAUAUAGAGUGUGAAACUCAGAUUGAACCUAAACCACACCCAUCAUUUAAUAACAUGCCUUGGUGGACUUAGAAAAAUAAUAAAAUAGCUAGAAAGAAAAAGGCAGUUUGCAUGAUGACUGGGGAGACUCCUGCUGGUCAAUGCUUCGUUGGAGAGAACAGAACCAUCAGGCAAAUACACACUAUCCAAUUACAAAGCGUUAAUUUUAGAGGGACAAGUGAUUCUGACAGUGUUUUCUGCUUGAUACUUGGAUUCACCUGCCAACACUCCUGUAAGACUCGUAGUCAAUCUACGAAACAGGACACCUCCCGUAGAAAGAAGCCUUCCAUAGCAUUGACAUUUAAGCCCUUUGAGAACACAAGUAGAUCUGCAAGGGUAAAUAAAUAGCAACAUUUCUGGGCUGCACUGAUUGCCAGGAAGCCAUAUUUCCAUAACAACAUAUAUGGCAGAACCCAGCCACAGUACAUGGCAGGAGUGCCAGGGACUUAACAAGCAAACUGUGUCCAGUCUGGAGACAGACUGAGACUAAACUAAAGUUGGAGACUCCCCUGACUCCAAGGGAAGGGCUGUAGAUGAGUUAUGCUAUCAGCACAAGUGAAAUGCCUAAUUGGAGAAAAGGAAGAGAAGAUGGCGGGUCAUUGGGAUAAAAAGGAGGGGAAGGGGGCAGCUCAACAAAACUCGGAUUGUUGAAAUGAUUUUUUGUUCACAGUAUUGUCAUAAUGCAUUUUAUUUACCCAGAGGAAAUAAUAGAGAAGGAACAUCAAUUAUCAAUCAAAAAAUCCACCAAUUAUCAAUCCAUCGAUUGUCCUCCAUCAAUUAUCAAUCAAAUCCAAACAAACACUGUGUGAGUGUUUAAGAGACUUUUACAACUGUUCUCUCCCUCUCCCUCUCCCCCUCUAUCUCCCCCCUUCCUCUCUGCCUCCUCUCCUCUCUUCUCCUCCCUUCCACCCCCAUCAUUCAUCCCUCUCCAUAGUCUCUAUCCUUUUUCUGUAAUAUCACCUGAAAACAUGAAAUAUGACUUCCCAAAGACUUUGUGGCAUCUGAGUGGUCCAGGCUGUAUCUGCCGCCCUUGCAUUAGAGGUCAUCUAGUUGCAGGAGAUCUUCUGCCUGUCCUAGCACCUGGUGUCAAAGUGGAGCUCUAAUUCUGUCAGCACUGCAGGCCUCCUCCACCAACCAGGUGUUACCAAUCCUUCUCAUUCAUCCCUUCUGUACAUUUGUAUUAAACUUUUAUUUUGAACAAA